GGAGAAGGACAUCGAUCGAUGUAGAGCAUGGCGAGGCUGAAUAGUUGUUGUAUUUGAGAAAGUCUGAUCGGUAGUUGUAUGCAUGAACAUCCAUUAGCACCUGUUGUUGGAGCUGCAGAAGGCCUUCUCCCCUACAGUUGAAGGUCAAGAGUAAAAGAGACUGAGAAAGAAUUAAACACUGUUGUUUCAAGUUCUCCUUUGCUUUCAGGUGUUCUUUCCGAGGCGGAUGAUCUGCGAUGGCAGUCGAUCGUAGCACUGGUGAUGCUGCAUUGGACGGUUUACUGCUAAGGUUAUCUAUUGUGCAGGCCAGUGGUUUUACACCUCUUUCAGCUUUGUUUGGUUUCUUAUUUUGGUCGUUCCAUGUUUCUUUUUUAUUUUCCUGUCCGGUUUUGUGUAGUUGCCUCAGUUUUGUAUGGAGAUCCUUCCCGUGUUCAAUUUUUCCUCUUUUGUUGAUGAGCAUGGUUCUUCGCCUGGCUUGCCUCCAAUGGGCGUGAAUAUUCCGAUGUAUUCCCACCGGUGGGGUUCUUGGACUCCUGUACCGUCGGACUGUUCUUUUGUUCCUGACCACCUAUAAAUAUCGCUAAUUCUCUGAACAUGUUUCUUAUACACGAAGAUAUUUAUCUGCGUCAGUGAACCAUUUAACACUUUCCCUAAAAGUCGGAGACAGCUAGCCCUUGCUUGCAAUUAUCAUUGGAUCUUUGGCGGUUUAUUUUGUGAUUGCAUACCAUUGUGCUGGAACUUUGAUGAUAGUCUUAAGAUAACUACCCCUUAGUUGCACUAUUGACAGUUCCUUUUACUGUCAUCUACCUGUUAGUUUUUACUGGGCUACUUUUUGCGUGUUUUUCUUUUUAAGGCAUAACAUGUUCUUAACUGAGCCAUCUUCCUGGCUUUAACUUCAGAAGAUGUGCUCGAGUCUGUGUACCAGGAAAUAUAGGUUAAUUUUUUCACGCAAAUGGCAAUAGGAUGACACAUGAUCUCAAUAAUCAAAUAGAUAGCACUAGAGAUAAUUCCACCAUUUGCUUACACCACAAUGUGCACCCCUUCUUUCAGAGAAAAUAUUAUUGAAUGGUUUUGUAGUUUUUCUGCCCAAAGUAUGCACGGCUACCGUCUCAUGAUUGCUUAAUUUCCUACUGAUUAUGUCGAUAUGUAAUUUACCUUAAAAAGGACAUUCUGAUUUGUACUGUUGCACUAUUUACCGUAACUUUUGUUUAACCUUAAUUUUUUCUGUUUAUGUGAGUCUGUAAUUUACCUUAAAUACUAAUAUGGGCCUCUUCUCUUUUGGAAACAUUAUUGAAUGGGUUUAUAGUUGUUCUGCCCAAACUAAGCAUGUAAUUUACCUUCAAAAGGAGAUUCUGAUUUGUAUUGUUGCACUAUAUACCUUAUUUUUUGUCUUACCUUUUCAGAAGUUCACUUCAGAUGAUAAUAUUGACAUAUCUACCUUCACAAAUGAGCUUCGCCAAAUUCAUUCGGGGUUCCCAAAAAUCCAAACAAGCUGUUGGAAAGGAGAAAUCACAAAUCACAACAAAAUUUAUGGGGCCUGACCGGUUAUCUCAUAUGAGAAUAAAGCGGUGCCAUACUGAGGUUUAUGUUUGUUAUGGCAAUGCUAAGACUACAGGCUUCCAUGUUGCUCAUAUUAACAUUUCAGCUUGCGUGCAAUCAGUAUUCUGUGCUGGAGUCUUUUGUAAUGACAAACUUUGUUUGUACAAACGUCGUGCCAUAAUUAUCGUGUAUCCCUCUUAUCUAGAGACCUCAACUUCCUCCAAGUAAGGAUUCUUCAUAAGUUAAAUAAUAUAGUAGAGACUUGCAAGGCUGUUU